rnacentral:rRNA from 1 species
UACGUAGGGACCGAGCGUUGUCCGGAAUCAUUGGGCGUAAAGAGCGUGUAGGCGGCUUGCUAAGUCUUGCGUGAAAUCUCGGGGCUCAACCCCGAGCGGUCGUGGGAAACUGGCAGGCUAGAGUGCGGGAGAGGAGAAUGGAAUUCCUGGUGUAGCGGUGAAAUGUGCAGAUAUCAGGAAGAACACCCGUGGCGAAGGCGGUUCUCUGGAACGCAACUGACGCUGAGACGCGAAAGCGUGGGGAGCAAACAGG